UUUAAUGAGAGUUUGAUCCUGGCUCAGGACGAACGCUGGCGGCGUGCCUAAUACAUGCAAGUAGAACGCUGAAGUCUG
rnacentral:rRNA from 1 species